GAUUUUAUCAAGUUCAUGUUGUCAUUUAUUAGUCAUUGAAUUUUCACAAAUUUCUACCCAAAUAGAAAUGAGUAGUAUAGAAUAGAUUGUAAUCUGUUUAUCUUUCUUAUUACAUCUUUAUUUAUUGAUACGGUAGCCUUUCUGUCGUUGUUUACAUUCAGAUAAGAUUCAUACACCUGUCGUGAGCCUACGAUACCUUAAAAACAAAACACCAUCGAUUAAUGUUUAUGAUGUGAUUCAAAAUACAAUGAUAUGUUAUGUAGUGUUGAGUAACGUAUUGUUUAGAAAUAGAUGUAUUGACAAGAUCUACAUAUAUAUUGUGACUCGAGCUGAAUGGAAUUUUUUUUCAUGCAAUAAAAGAUAAUGGAAGAAUUUGUAAGUAAUGAAUUUUCCCUCAGGGACAAUGCAAUAUUCUUGGUGUUUAUGUUCUGAACCUGAAAUUGAAGGACUUUCGACUGGAUAUCCUUCCUCCUACAAUUGAAAAACUGUGGAGUAUUGCUAUGAGUUUUUAUUUAAUUACAUAUUGGAGUGAAUAAGAAGAAAUCGUUAGGAAAUAAAUAAAAUCUUCAUGUGAUUGGGUGGAUUCUGGUGUGUUUAGAAUUCGUAUUUAUUUCAUCUGCGCAAAAGCAUGACCCUUAAGAUGCGGAUCCCGCAUUGCGCACUACGGAUCAAAGCCACCCUCAAUUCAACUGAGUUUCAGUACUCAGCAUUCAGGGGACAAUUUAGCCAAUUAAACUUAUUCAUAGUGAAUGUUAUGAAUUGAUGAGUUUAAUUAAUUAUUUGACCUUCACCUGAUCUUCGAGAAAAACUAGGUCAAUUGUAAAUAGUGGAAAAUUUUUAUAAGCAACAGUUUUAAUAAAAGUAUGAAAUUGUUUUGAGUUGAAGUAAUUGAACACAAAUGUUUUGUAUCGGUAGCAAAACUGUUUAGUUAAGCUAGUAAAUUUGUUUCUUUGUCAAAAGGAAAGUUGUCAGAUUUAGUUUAAUUUAAAAAUGUUUUAUUAAUAAUAAAUGCAGUGUAAUGAUUUAAAAUUAUUAGAAAUUAAUCUUAGAUUAAUUGUCAUCGAUUAUAUAAUAUGCAUUUUAGAAAUGGAAAUGAAUAUUUACA